rnacentral:rRNA from 1 species
GACGAACGCUGGCGGCGUGCUUAACACAUGCAAGUCGAGCGGUAAGGCCCUUCGGGUACACGAGCGGCGAACGGGUGAGUAACACGUGGGUGACCUGCCCUUAGCUCUGGGAUAAGCCUGGGAAACUGGGUCUAACACCGGAUAUGACCUCAUGACGCAUGUUGUGGGGUGGAAAGCCUUGUGCGGCUAGGGAUGGGCCCGCGGCCUAUCAGCUUGUUGGUGGGGUGAUGGCCACCAAGGCGACGACGGGUAGCCGGCCUGAGAGGGCGACCGGCCGACACUGGGACUGAGACACGGCCCAGACUCCUACGGGAGGCAGCAGUGGGGAAUCUUGCGCAAUGGGCGAAAGCCUGACGCAGCGACGCCGCGUGAGGGAUGACGGCCU